AGAGUUUGAUCCUGGCUCAGGAUGAACGCUAGCGGCAGGCCUAACACAUGCAAGUCGAGGGGCAGCGAGAUCAAAGCUUGCUUUGAUUGUCGGCGACCGGCGCACGGGUGCGUAACGCGUAUGCAACCUACCCAAAACAGGGGGAUAACACUGAGAAAUUGGUACUAAUACCCCAUAACAACAGAGAAGGCAUCUUCUGUGUUUGAAAACUCCGGUGGUUUUGGAUGGGCAUGCGUUGUAUUAGCUGGUUGGUGAGGUAACGGCUCACCAAGGCGACGAUACAUAGGGGGACUGAGAGGUUAACCCCCCACAUUGGUACAAACUCCUACGGGAGGCAGCAGUGAGGAAUAUUGGUCAAUGGACGCAAGUCUGAACCAGCCAUGCCGCGUGCAGGAUGACGGCUCUAUGAGUUGUAAACUGCUUUUGUAUGAGGGUAAACUCAAGGUGACUGAAAGUAUCAUACGAAUAAGGAUCGGCUAACUCCGUGCCAGCAGCCGCGGUAAUACGGAGGAUCCAAGCGUUAUCCGGAUUUAUUGGGUUUAAAGGGUGCGCAGGCGGUUUGAUAAGUCAGUGGUGAAAACUUGGGGCUUAACCCCAAGCUUGCCUCUGAUACUGUCGAACUAGAGAUUGGUUGCGGUAGGCGGAAUGUAUGGUGUAGCGGUGAAAUGCUUAGAGAUCAUACAGAACACCGAUUGCGAAGGCAGCUUACCAAGCCACAUCUGACGCUCAGGCACGAAAGCAUGGGUAGCAAACAGGAUUAGAUACCCUGGUAGUCCAUGCAGUAAACGAUGAUAACUCGCUGUCGGCGAUACACAGUCGGUGGCUAAGCGAAAGCGAUAAGUUAUCCACCUGGGGAGUACGUUCGCAAGAAUGAAACUCAAAGGAAUUGACGGGGGCCCGCACAAGCGGAGGA
rnacentral:rRNA from 1 species